GGACAUGCUAGGAGAUGUAGCCGAUAUAUUUUAAAGAAUUUCGGUAGGGUCAACAUGUUUGCCUUCACUUGAUUUUACUGUCCCAAGAAGUUGAUAUCAUUGAAAGAAAAUGUCAAACACAUUACAUUAACAAAUGUCACAAAAACGACACACUACGUUACAAGCAGCUGGAACUUGAUAGUGCUACCGGAUUAUUCGGUUAUCGGACUCAAACAUAUGAAGGUAAAUAACAAGACGGCAAAACCCUCGAGUGACCACCAUGAGUCUGAUGUCCAUGACAAUGAGUUGCGCCAAUUGAAUGAGACUAAACAAGUUGUUCGCAAAGAGAAGCAAAUUCGUCAUUCUAUCCAGAGCCAGGAAUCAGAUAUCAAGGGUAUUUUGACUGACUUUAUGAAAUCUGUUUCUGAACAAAUACUCGAACUUAAAUAUGAAUUAAAAGAACACGUAAAGAAAACGUCGGCUCAAAUGGAAGAACUUAAAGACAUCACUUGCGGCCUCAAAAAACACCAUAGUCUUUGCUGUAAUGAUAUUUCCUCAAAAAUGCAGGACGUUGCUGAAGAAUCAGAGUCAGUUAAAACCCAAAUGAGUGUACUAAAUGAAGAACUUCUCAAAAGAUGGCAAUCGUUUACCGACUCUAUCAAAACUCAGUUGUCUGCUAUUACAGAUCACAAGAAAGAAAAUCAUCAUUCAGUACUGUCACAAGCUACAAACCAAUUACCAUCCAAUAUAAACAGAGAAACAAGUCUUCGUGCAGAUCUUUCAGCAAGCACAUUUCCAUCCCCUGCUAGCAUUGAACCACGGAGAACUCUCAUCAUCGAUUUUGAAAGGAAUCAAAAAGCUCGGGUUAAAACGCAACGUUGAUAUACGCACUUGUCCUGGAAACACUCUUAACGGGAUUCAGUCGCAACUAAAUAAACUGAAUUAUACUCAGUACGAAAAAAUAGUGGUGUAUGCAGGCGGUAAUGAUGCCGCUUCCGGUUCCUCCCAAAAGACGUUGUACAACGAUGCCAAAGCUCUACUGCAGGACAUUCAAAAUAAAUCAUCAUCGUGUCAUAUCUUCAUAUGUACUGUCUGUCCGCGAGCUGACGCUGAUGUCGUUCCAUUGAAUGAUCUUUUAAAGCAGUAAAGUGAUGAAUUUAAGACGCAAAUUAUCGACUGUCAUCAAUCGUUUGUGUUCGAAAAUGGAACUACUGCCAGGAAUUUCUAUUUUCGGGAUGGUAUUCAUUGAAUAGGUCUGGAACAAGUGUUCUAAUUGCGGCGAUCCAUCGUGAAAUACCAAUCACGCGACAAGUUGCCGGAAACAGCAUAGCAACUGAUCAACGACGGUUUGACUCUCUUAGGGACGAAUGCUGCCAAAAGCAUAUUGCAAUUUGUGUGGCUUGAAUAAUCACGACACAAAUGACUGCUACCGGAAAUGGCGUCGAUCGGACAGUUACCAUAGCAACUUGUGGUCCGAGUCUAUGAGAUACGGACGAUAUCGCCGUCAGAGCACGGUCCCAGCUGAACAACGGGCUGCAUAGGACAUUCGCAUCAGGCCAUAACACAUUUCAAAUCCUGAGAGCGGUACUGUUAAUUAUAAUAAAUUUGACGUUUUAAAUAACUUAUGUAUAGAAUGUAAUAACUGUGUAUGCAAAUGUGAUUCUGACACUAUCAUUUAAAAUACGAUUGUAUCAAAUGAA